CCUACGGGAGGCAGCAGUGAGGAAUAUUGGUCAAUGGGCUUAAGCCUGAACCAGCCAAGUCGCGUGAGGGAAGACUGCCCUAUGGGUUGUAAACCUCUUUUGUCAGGGAGCAACGCCGGCUACGUGUAGCCGGACUGAGAGUACCUGAAGAAAAAGCAUCGGCUAACUCCGUGCCAGCAGCCGCGGUAAUACGGAGGAUGCGAGCGUUAUCCGGAUUUAUUGGGUUUAAAGGGUGCGUAGGCGGAAUGCCAAGUCAGCGGUAAAAUCGCGGGGCUCAACCUCGCUCCGCCGUUGAAACUGGCGGUCUUGAGUGGGCGAGAAGUAUGCGGAAUGCGUGGUGUAGCGGUGAAAUGCAUAGAUAUCACGCAGAACUCCGAUUGCGAAGGCAGCAUACCGGCGCCCAACUGACGCUGAAGCACGAAAGCGUGGGUAUCGAACAGGAUUAGAUACCCUAGUAGUC
rnacentral:rRNA from 1 species